rnacentral:rRNA from 1 species
UACGGGAGGCGGCAGUGGGGAAUAUUGCACAAUGGGCGAAAGCCUGAUGCAGCUAUGCCGCGUGUAUGAAGAAGGCCUUAGGGUUGUAAAGUACUUUCAUCGGGGAGGAAAAAACAAAACUAAUAAUUUUAUUUCUUGACGUUACCCGAAAAAGAAGCACCGGCUAACUCCGUGCCAGCAGCCGCGGUAAUACGGAGGGUGCUAGCGUUAAUCAGAAUUACUGGGCGUAAAGAGCACGUAGGUGGUUUUUUUAAAGUCAGAUGUGAAAUCCCUGGGCUUUAACCUAGGAACUGCAUUUUGAAACUGAAAUACUAGAGUAUCGUAGAGGGAGGUAGAAUUCUAGGUGUAGCGGUGAAAUGCGUAGAUAUCUGGAGGAAUACCUGUGGCGAAAGCGGCCUCCUAAACGAAUACUGACACUGAGGGUGCGAAAGCGUGGGGAGCAAACAGGGAUUAGAUACCCGU